rnacentral:rRNA from 1 species
AGAGUUUGAUCAUGGCUCAGAUUGAACGCUGGCGGCAUGCCUUACACAUGCAAGUCGAACGGCAGCACGGGAGCAAUCCUGGUGGCGAGUGGCGAACGGGUGAGUAAUAUAUCGGAACGUGCCCAGUCGUGGGGGAUAACGCAGCGAAAGCUGUGCUAAUACCGCAUACGAUCUCUGGAUGAAAGCGGGGGACCUGUAAGGGCCUCGCGCGAUUGGAGCGGCCGAUAUCAGAUUAGCUAGUUGGUGGGGUAAAAGCCCACCAAGGCGACGAUCUGUAGCUGGUCUGAGAGGACGACCAGCCACACUGGAACUGAGACACGGUCCAGACUCCUACGGGAGGCAGCAGUGGGGAAUUUUGGACAAUGGGCGCAAGCCUGAUCCAGCAAUGCCGCGUGCAGGAUGAAGGCCUUCGGGUUGUAAACUGCUUUUGUACGGAACGAAACGGUCUGCCCUAAUACGGUGGGCUAAUGACGGUACCGUAAGAAUAG